UACGGGGGGAGCAAGCGUUGUUCGGAUUUACUGGCGUAAAGGGCGCGUAGGCGGUCAGCACAAGUCAGUUGUGAAAUCUCCGGGCUUAACUCGGAAAGGUCAACUGAUACUGUGCGACUAGAGUGCGGAAGGGGCAACUGGAAUUCUCGGUGUAGCGGUGAAAUGCGUAGAUAUCGAGAGGAACACCUGCGGCGAAGGCGGGUUGCUGGGCCGACACUGACGCUGAUGCGCGAAAGCGUGGGGAGCGAACAGG
rnacentral:rRNA from 1 species